rnacentral:rRNA from 1 species
CACGUAGGGACCAAGCGUUGUCCGGAUUCAUUGGGCGUAAAGAGCUCGUAGGCGGUUCGAUAAGUCGGGUGUGAAACCUCCAGGCUCAACCUGGAGACGCCACCCGAUACUGUCGUGACUAGAGUCCAGUAGGGGAGCGUGGAAUUCCUGGUGUAGCGGUGAAAUGCGCAGAUAUCAGGAGGAACACCGGUGGCGAAGGCGGGUCUCUGGGCCGUAACUGACGCUGAGACACGAAAGCGUGGGUAGCAAACAGG